rnacentral:lncRNA from 1 species
GACUCUGGGGAGGACUGAAAUAGGACCUCAUACACAGUAGGAGCUUAAUAAUAAAUGUUUGUUGAACUACUGCUUAAGUCAAACAAGUCUACUUAAGUGAAAUUUCUCUCUCUCUCUCCCUCUCAGCAAUAAAAAUAAGCAAGCACUAUCAACUUCGGAGAAUAGGAAAAAUCCUGCUGUGGAUAUUCUCAUCUUUUUUAAGUCUGAGGGUGGAAAUGAGAACAUAAUCACCCAUGAUGAGCUGGCUGAGCAAAGUUGGGCCAAGCCAUCAAAUGCAGCUGUUGGCUUUCCACGGGAAUCAUCUCUCUUGCCUCCCAGUACACUUCAGGAGGUAGGUUUGCAGGAUAUAUGCCCACAUGUUCUGUAUGGAUGUGUGUAUGUUGUGUGUGUGAAAGUGUAC